CGCAUCAGGUCCUUCCUCACCUAACCGCACCAAUCUUUCACCUUUUAUUAAAGAUUGCCGUGGGGAAGGACACCCUAAUGAGCCUCUAGGUCAAUUGACCUAUGUUUUCUUUCUUGCCUUAAUGCAUCAC